AUUGAACGCUGGCGGCAGGCCUAACACAUGCAAGUCGGACGGUAGCACAGAGAGCUUGCUCUCGGGUGACGAGUGGCGGACGGGUGAGUAAUGUCUGGGGAUCUGCCCGAUAGAGGGGGAUAACCACUGGAAACGGUGGCUAAUACCGCAUAACGUCGCAAGACCAAGGAGGGGGACCUUCGGGCCUCUCACUAUCGGAUGAACCCAGAUGGGAUUAGCUAGUAGGCGGGGUAACGGCCCACCUAGGCGACGAUCCCUAGCUGGUCUGAGAGGAUGACCAGCCACACUGGAACUGAGACACGGUCCAGGCUCCUACGGGAGGCAGCAGUGGGGAAUAUUGCACAAUGGGCGCAAGCCUGAUGCAGCCAUGCCGCGUGUAUGAAGAAGGCCUUCGGGUUGUAAAGUACUUUCAGCGGGGAGGAAGGCUAUGUGGUUAAUAACCGCAUUGAUUGACGUUACCCGCAGAAGAAGCACCGGCUAACUCCGUGCCAGCAGCCGCGGUAA
rnacentral:rRNA from 1 species